CUCCAUAGACGGUCAUAUAAACGGCGCGUAGCAUAAGGUCAUUUAUAAUGCCUAUUCAACACCCCUGAUGUGAAUUUUGCUGUUUCGAAAACGUACGGGAGUUUGUUGUGCCAUCGUCCACUAUUUCGUGCAGUCUAGAUAGGAAAAUCAGCAGUGCAUUGUAGCCUACAAAGUCACCAAUUUAUCAUUCAUGAAUAUUAUGAAAUUUCCGCAUCAACAACAAUGUAGUGUCUCAGUGUUAAAGUUAAUGUAGUAAUUUAAAGUUUAUUUUUGUGGAUGGAUUCGUUUUGGGGGAUAGUGCGACAUACAGUAGUGCCAUGUGUACGAGAGAACCUGUUUAUGAGUGUGAUGUGGAUUGGCACUUUCUUUAUUCGAACGAAGAGCUCAAAAAUUGUGUCGCAGAUAAAUGAUGGUGGAGUGGAGUAAGGAAAAUGAGUGAGGCACAUAAAAAAAGAACAAUUAUCAAGUGGAUGCGGUACUUUGCUUUUGAUUCAAGCUUUUAGGCUUUUGGCAUGAUUCCUGGGUGGGUGAAAAUAGAAGAUGAUUGUAUACAUAUAGAAGAUGGUGUGUCUAGUUGGAAGUGGGAUUCCAAAAGAAGACUUCGCAAAUGUAGAGGAUGCUCGUAGUAAAACACCCAAUUUAGGCACAAGCUUUUGAAGGACAUGGUGGCGAAGCACAUCGCACAAAGGAACAAAUCAAUCUUUUAAUAUCAUGCCAUGCAAAUGGGAAAUAUGGAUAUUCUGCUGUAGAUGUUCUUGAAGGAUGAACCAAUUGAACAAACUUAUACAGAAGCCGGUUUCCACUGAAUUGCCAAAUCGAACUCAAGUAUACUCGGGGUAUAUGGGUGAUAUCAAAAUAAUUCCAUUCAUCAAAACCUGAUCGAUACCAAUGUUUCACCAUUCGUGUCUCCAGAAAUCACGACUCGCCUUAACUCUUUUCAGAAAUGCAAAUGUCCUGUCAUCCUUUUUUAAAAAACAAGAUCAAAGUUAUGGAGAAAAAUAAUCAUUUGUGGUACCCUGUUAUAAAAACAACUGCUAAGAGGUUGAGAAAGAAUUUGGAAACUAAAAUUAGUGCUGAAAUGGUGAGAAAACAAUUAACUAGAUUUUUGGAUUAUAGUAUGUAUCCCUUUUCUCGGCAAAAUAAACACUGUAACCUUUUUUUAUUCAAAAAUAAUUAUUAGAUAUAUUAACCUGUGAA